UACGUAGGGUGCGAGCGUUGUCCGGAAUUACUGGGCGUAAAGAGCUCGUAGGUGGUUUGUCGCGUUGUCCGUGAAAACUCACAACUCAAUUGUGGGCGUGCGGGCGAUACGGGCAGACUGGAGUACUGCAGGGGAGACUGGAAUUCCUGGUGUAGCGGUGGAAUGCGCAGAUAUCAGGAGGAACACCGGUGGCGAAGGCGGGUCUCUGGGCAGGAACUGACGCUGAGGAGCGAAAGCGUGGGGAGCGAACAGG
rnacentral:rRNA from 1 species